rnacentral:miRNA from 1 species
CUUCGUCCGGUGUUCGAGGCG